rnacentral:lncRNA from 1 species
UUUUCACUAGAUUUAGUAAACAUUUUUCAAAGCUGUUAAAUAUUCUUCAAAAACAUGAUCAAUGGCUGUGCAAUAGUUCAUGUGGGAUCAUCCAUUACACUAUUACUAGACAAAUUGUUUCCACUUUUCACCAUUAUAAGUGAAGACGCUGUGUGAAUCGUGUUUGGAAUCUGAUUUUUCUCAGGUGAUCUACCUAUAAGUGCAAUCAUUGGAUCAAGGGUAGAAAUAUCUUUUAGUGAUCUUGCUAAAUACUGCCUAACUGGCCUACAGAAAAUUUGCUAAUCAUAGUCCCUCUAAUUGUAUAUAAAAGUGCCCACUUUGUUAUACUCUUUUAAAAAAUUCUUUUCACUCCGUUUU